UACGUAGGGUGCAAGCGUUGUCCGGAAUUAUUGGGCGUAAAGAGCGUGUAGGCGGCCAGAUAAGUCCGCUGUGAAAUCUCGAGGCUCAACCUCGAGCUGUCGGUGGAAACUGUCUGGCUAGAGUCCGGAAGAGGAGAAUGGAAUUCCUGGUGUAGCGGUGAAAUGCGCAGAUAUCAGGAAGAACACCCGUGGCGAAGGCGGUUCUCUGGGACGGUACUGACGCUGAGGCGCGAAAGCGUGGGGAGCGAACAGG
rnacentral:rRNA from 1 species